rnacentral:rRNA from 1 species
UACGGGGGGGGCAAGCGUUGUUCGGAAUUACUGGGCGUAAAGGGCUCGUAGGUGGCCAACUAAGUCAGACGUGAAAUCCCUCGGCUUAACCGGGGAACUGCGUCUGAUACUGGAUGGCUUGAGUUCGGGAGAGGGAUGCGGAAUUCCAGGUGUAGCGGUGAAAUGCGUAGAUAUCUGGAGGAACACCGGUGGCGAAGGCGGCAUCCUGGACCGACACUGACACUGAGGAGCGAAAGCUAGGGUAGCAAACGGG